UGGGCAACCUGCCCCUCUCUCUGGGAUAACCCCGGGGAAACCGGAGCUAAUACCGGAUACUCCGGCUGGAUCGCAUGGUCCGGCCGGGAAAGGUCCGUCGGAGAGGGAUGGGCCCGCGGCCUAUCAGCUUAUUGGUGGGGUCAUGGCUCACCAAGGCGACGACGGGUAGCUGGUCUGAGAGGACGACCAGCCACACAUUGGAACUGAGACACGGUCCAGACUCCUACGGGAGGCA
rnacentral:rRNA from 1 species